CCGAGCCUGGAGACCCGGUUCUGACCGAUGCGCGCCUGGAGCUGAACCGGGUCCUCGCCAGGGUCGGUUCCUGGAUGUCUUCAGCAUACUGGUCCUGUCCUCUCUCAGCAUCCCAUUCCUCUUCCCCCCUCCUUUCUCUGCCUCCCACUCUGCGCGCGGACUGAGAACUUUCUGGGGCUGGUAAGGCUUAAGAGACCGCAAGUUGCUCAACACUAAUUUGGCCAGGCGCUGUGUGUUUGGGGCAGGCGUUUGUGACUCUGUGUUUGUGUGUGUGUGUGUGAACACCUGCGUUCUAGAGGGUUUGUAGUGUCUCUGCGACAAUUGAGGAAGCCGUUUGAUCUGGACGUUAAGCAGCCCUGGAGAGGCCAUCCCAGUGCUCCAAUUCCAGUGGAACCAGGGAGCGGUUCCUGCGCCCCAUACAUGCCCCUGGAACCAACGGGAUUUCUCUGGCUGCAUUUAGCCGAAUAAAUCCAACCGUAGGCAUCCAACUGGAAACGGCUGUUCCCGGCUGGCUGGCGUGUACCGGUUCGCCUCCGCAGAGCGUCCAGCCCCACUGAUGACCCCAGGUCCAGCGGCCUGUCUCUGCGCAUCGGUGCCUGGUAGCACCCACUUGUGCUCCCGUUUCGGAAACCUACCCAGACGAGUCUGCUCGCUGCGAAAACUGAAAGCAAAUUCCGCUGCAGGCAGAACUUUUUUCCUCCACGCAAGUUUGCAACAGAGAUCCGUCCCCGAGGCGGCUUUGGGAGGCCAGCCAGCUAGUGUGGAGCUCACAGCGGGGUCAGAUAUCCAGUACUCCCCGCCCCACACUACCUCCACCCCGCACCUGGUGGCCUAGCCCUGGCCAAGGGAAGAUAGUUCCUCUUUUUCUUAUUUCUGUUUCUUUUCGGUCCCUGAUAGGACCAAGUUUCCAAGCUAUUUCGGAGGAUGCCCAAGGUGAACGCUAGAAGCUGGCACUAAGGGGUAGAGGGAGGUGGCUUUGUAAGAUCUAUGGAAAGCUCUGGCUGGAAUCCUUAGCCCAACGGAGCACAAGGAAGUUUGGGACCCGCUCUCCCUCCCUGGGGAGCAUACUUCUCUGCCUUCACUUUCAACCAGAAGUUAAAUAACCUCCCUGAAUGGCCAUUCUCGGACGAGGCACCCCCUCCCUCCCACCCCCGAAACGGAUGGAGAACCCUUGGCCACUCCUAGGCCACUUGGGCCCGUCCAAGAAACGUUUGCGCGGAGGUGGAAGGACGAAUGUGUGACUCCCACUUCCAACGUGGCUUCUCAGACCUUCAGGGCCAGCGGAUCUUCCAACCGGAGCUUCCCCCCACCCUGGGAAACACGGGUUUGGGGGAGCCCGUGAGGGUGCAAAGUGUGCGCGCGAACUCGCGCGGGGGCGAGCGGGGCCUGUCGCCGGGCCGGCCGCAGCGGGUGAGUGAUGAGGGCAGAGAAGGGCGCCCAUAAAUCGCGAGUGUCAGGGCGAAAAACUCUCUUUAUUGUCUGCGUGAUGGAUGGGCCCAGGGACGAGACACCAAAUACUUCGUAUCGCCUUUAAAUGGGAACACAUUUUCCGCGGCCAUAAUUCAUGUUUUUUAAAUAGAAAGUUUGAAAUGUU